rnacentral:rRNA from 1 species
AUUGAACGCUGGCGGCAGGCCUAACACAUGCAAGUCGAGCGGAUGAAGGGAGCUUGCUCCUGGAUUCAGCGGCGGACGGGUGAGUAAUGCCUAGGAAUCUGCCUGGUAGUGGGGGAUAACGUCCGGAAACGGGCGCUAAUACCGCAUACGUCCUGAGGGAGAAAGUGGGGGAUCUUCGGACCUCACGCUAUCAGAUGAGUCUAGGUCGGAUUAGCUAGUUGGUGGGGUAAAGGCCUACCAAGGCGACGAUCCGUAACUGGUCUGAGAGGAUGAUCAGUCACACUGGAACUGAGACACGGUCCAGACUCCUACGGGAGGCAGCAGUGGGGAAUAUUGGACAGUGGGCGAAAGCAUGAUCCAGCCAUGCCGAGUGUGUGAAGAAGGUCUUCGGAUUGUAAAGCACUUUAAGUUGGGAGGAAGGGCAGUAAGUUAAUACCUUGCUGUUUUGACGUUACCAACAGAAUAAGCACCGGCUAACUUCGUG